rnacentral:misc_RNA from 1 species
AGCAGCCGCGGUAAUUCCAGCUCCAAUAGCGUAUAUUAAAGUUGCUGCAGUUAAAAAGCUCGUAGUUGAAUUUCGGGACUAAUAUGUCGGUCGUGCCUCGGUACGUACUGGUUUAUUGGUUUCUCCUUUCUGAAGAACCAUGAUGUCAUUUAUUUGGUGUCGUGGGGAAUCAGGACUGUUACUUUGAAAAAUUAGAGUGUUUAAAGCAGGCUCACGCUUGAAUACAUUAGCAUGGAAUAAUGAAAUAGGACGUUUGAUUCUAUUUUGUUGGUUUCUAGGAUCGACGUAAUGAUUAAUAGGGAUAGUUGGGGGCAUUAGUAUUCAAUUGUCAGAGGUGGAAUUCUUGGAUUUAUUGAAGACUAACUACUGCGAAAGCAUUUGCCAAGGAUGUUUUCAUUAAUCAAGAACGAAAGUUAGGGGAUCGAAGACGAUCAGAUACCGUCGUAGUCUUAACCAUAAACUAUGCCGACUAGGGAUCGGAUGAUGUUAAUUUUUAAUGACUCAUUCGGCGCCUUAAC